rnacentral:lncRNA from 1 species
CAUGACAGUGAUUCUACAGGACAUAGAAUGGAAGCAGCUGACCAUGAGCACGGUUGCUGUCAACAGGUCCUGAAGAACAUCAAGGAAAAUAGUAAGAGCAGAAAAACCUUACAAGUUGGUUACCUUUCAUUUUUUAAAUUACUUUGCAAUCUAAUUAUACUGAUGAGGUUCAUUAAUGUCAGAUUAAUUUUGUAUGUUUUACAAGACUAAAAAAAAAAACAACCCAUGGAGUGUGGGCCAAUGAGAUGUGUUUAAAGAGAAGAGGACGUUGAUGAAGGGCUUGCUCCUGACCUGCUUGAAGUAUCUACUAAUGCACUGCAGGGCUGGGUUCAAAUUGAGGUCUGUCUCAUUCCCAAGUUGAGUCUCCUUUCCCCGCUCCAUGCCACUGCUCCCCACAGAGACAUAAAGAGUGUCUUCUGUGACUCAGCUUCCUCUUCUGUAACAGCCUGCCUUCUGGCUUCUGUGUGCACUAAUGAGAGUGAGCCCUCCACCCAGGUGCCAACCUGCACAGUGGGGCAGUGGGCGGGUGGUGUGAGCGCUUCUCCUUUG